rnacentral:lncRNA from 1 species
AUGGUAAUCCCAUGUGGCUGUCACGGCUCCUCCCCAAGAAGGCUGUGGGCACCCAUACUCCUUGCUCUCUGCUUCUUUUCCAGGGGAACCUCCCACCAGAGUCUGGGUGCAAGGCUGGCUGUGGCCUGUGUGCUUUGCCCUGCAGGUCACCACUGCCCUGAGCCAGGCACUGCUACUCCACAGCCCUGUGGUGCUGGAAGCUUCUCUGGUCCAGGCCAUCUCUGGUGCCAAAAGUGCUCAGGAGGAAAGCUCUGCAAUCAGACAAAACUGGCCCGCCCUAUAGCAUGUCCACCUGGGCACUACUGCCCAGCCCCAGGCCUGCUGACCAUCCCUUGUCCCAUGGUAAGAAGAUCCCCUCAGCCCUCCUGGCAUCUCUUCACCUGUGCCUACAAAGGCUCUGGAGCCACCGGCCCUGUACCGGUGGUUGGGGUGGAGGACACUCCUUCACUGUGACACGGCCACACGCCAGCCGUCUGCCUCCUGCCCCACUCUGAUGAGGAGCACUGGACCACUCCCUUUCUCAAAGCUGAUUUCUGAUAGUGGUGUUAGACCAGAGGUCACAAGGGGCAAAGCAACCCAGGCUUGUGGAAGAGGGAGGGAUGCAGGGAGAGGGAGGGAGAGGCUCGGGAGCUGAAAGAUAGAGACUCAGGUGGAGCUGCCAGCAGGGAGGGGCUGGGGGGGGCACCCUUUGUUCUCCAGGCUCCAGAACCCUCCAAUCUCCCCCACCCCCCACUGUAGCCAUGGCUUCUUCUCCCCAAGAUAUACGCACCUCUUCAAAUGAUCUGAUGUCCUCUAUUCUCUCUUGCUGCCUGCUUUUGAAAUCUGCUGUGAAUUAAUCACAUUCCUCACUGGGUGGGUGUUUUGCCAUCAAACACUGUUGGUCUAUCAAAAAGUAAGUCCCUCUCAUUCGUGUGUGUGUUCUGGAGGCUCAUUCUUCAAGCAGGCCAUUUCCUCCUCCCCAGCCCUGUCAUGUCCAGGGUGAGGGUGGAGGGGCCCCGCUCUGUUCCCUUCCUAGCAGAGCAGCCAGGCUACCCAGGUCUGGAACCCCAUUCUGGCCUCCAGGUCCUUGAUGUCAGUUCAACGUUCUCUGUUCAGGGCACUUUCCGAGAGGCCCCUGGGGCAGCACGUGUGGAAGACUGCCAACUGUGCCGCCCUGGGGCCUUCUGUGGCAGAACAGGCCUGACUGAGCCCCAGGGGCUAUGCAGUCCUGGGCACCACUGUGGGCCUGGUUCCAACACCUCCUCUCCGGUGAGUGCAGGCCCUCCUGGGCCUAAGGGAGGCAAGGCUGGCCUGAGCUCAGAGGCCUGGGCUGGAGUCAGGGGACACCAGUACCUACCUUUAGGGCUCACGGCCUCUUGGGGUAACAGAGCAAAAAAUGGUGGGACGUUGCAGAGACAGAGCCAGUAAAACUGCAACCAUUAAACAUGGCCAAUAAAAAUGUGGAAGGGCCAAAGUAUUUAAUAUCA